rnacentral:piRNA from 1 species
GCAAGAAUCUUCAGUGUGGCCUACU